rnacentral:rRNA from 1 species
AGUGAACGCUGGCGGUAGGCCUAACACAUGCAAGUCGAACGGCAGCACAGUAAGAGCUUGCUCUUACGGGUGGCGAGUGGCGGACGGGUGAGGAAUACAUCGGAAUCUACUUUUUCGUGGGGGAUAACGUAGGGAAACUUACGCUAAUACCGCAUACGACCUACGGGUGAAAGCAGGGGAUCUUCGUACCUUGCGCGAUUGAAUGAGCCGAUGUCGGAUUAGCUAGUUGGCGGGGUAAAGGCCCACCAAGGCGACGAUCCGUAGCUGGUCUGAGAGGAUGAUCAGCCACACUGGAACUGAGACACGGUCCAGACUCCUACGGGAGGCAGCAGUGGGGAAUAUUGGACAAAGGGCGCAAGCCUGAUCCAGCCAUACCGCGUGGGUGAAGAAGGCCUUCGGGUUGUAAAGCCCUUUUGUUGGGAAAGAAAAGCAGCAGGUUAAUACCCCGCUGUUCUGACGGUACCAAAAGAAUAAGCACCGGCUAACUUCGUG